CAGGGAGACAACAAAAUGUUUAAUAUUAUUAUUUUGUCACCUUAGGUCGAUCGGUAUCUCACGUUCUUAAUUUGUUAAGAAUUUCAUUUCCUAAGUUUUUCUAGGUCACACCCAUUAUUUUCCUGGGCCAUUAGCUCAGGUGGUUAGAGCGCACCCCUGAUAAGGGUGAGGUCCCUGGUUCAAGUCCAGGAUGGCCCAUAUCUCUAUGUUGGGGGUAUAGCUCAGUUGGUAGAGCGCCUGCUUUGCAAGCAGGAUGUCAGCGGUUCGAGUCCGCUUACCUCCACUGAUCACCACCUCUUCCAUACUUAAAGAAAGGAAAUGUUUUGAGUUGUGAUUACUUGCUGAACGAAUCUAGCUUCCUAAUCAAACUGAUUAAGAUGCUGGACUCAUUGAAUGAAAAUUCAUUGUUUUCAGAGAACCUUGACAACUGCAUAGAUUAUUUUUAAAGACAAUAAGCAUCUUUAAUGAUGCAGAUUUAUUAUUUGUGCGAAUGCAUUAAUAACAAUUCUAUUAAGCUGAUGCUUCAAUUUUUGAAGUUAUU
rnacentral:tRNA from 1 species